rnacentral:lncRNA from 1 species
CUUUUGUUACAGAAGGUGGCACGCCUCCUCCUCUCAUCUCCCUGCCAAGACCUCAAAUAAAAUCGUUUCCUCCUGAAAAUGCCCAUCUCGGAACCUUGGCUGUGCCCCGAGGGAGGCACCGGAAUGGCAAAAGUGAGGACAUACGGCUGCCAGCAUCGUCUAUGCUCUAGAUAGGGGUCAAAUGUCAACUUUCUGCCAGGUCCAGCCCGGAUGUGAGGGCUGUGAAGGCAACAACCAAGGAACCAUUCCUUCGGAUGGAAGUCCUAUGGCAGAGAGAAGCUGAUGUUUGAAUUUUCCUGUAGAGCCCUUGAGGUUCCAUGAAUCAGUCUGGGAAGGAUGCAGGUUAAGUGGGAAGCAGAAGCCCUCAAUCACGUGAUGACGGAAAAGCCGAAAAGGCUGGGUUAUACCCUUAGGAAACCUAUUUGUUUCUUGGCUCCCUGCAGGGGCAUGCACACUAGCAAAGGCUCAAUCCCUUCAUUAUUCAUUUGAUCACAAAAGAAGGAAUGAGAGGAAAAAUACUUUUAUUUUUCACCAAGCAAUCACCAAGCGCAGUCUCAACGAAGAGCCCCUCCUUCUUUCAUGUCUUCUUUUGUGUGUGACUUACUCAGUCUAAGUUUCAUCCACAGGUAAAGGAACCCAAGCUGGGCCCAAUGCCAAGUGCACUUCUUCAAUGUUACAUUCUGGGACAGGAGAGAGGAUCACUGGUUGAGCCUACCUACUCUGUGGACACAUUGUAAUCCUGAAACUGUUCUGAGCUUCCAUUCAUGGCCAGGACACCUGAUCACUUCAUCGUUGGGUUCUGUGUUUGAAAACUGGGCCAGCUCUGAACCUGGGUGACAGAACACACUGUGGAGAAACCUUGUCUCUAGGAUCUUGCUCAUACACUCUUGGCUCCUCUUGCUCUGGUGGAGCUCCUCAGUGCCCACUGGGAAAGUGAUCUGGCUCCCAAGACCACCAGCCUGUUCAAGUCAUGGAUGGCACCAGUUUUCACAGGCUGAGUGAUUAGAAAACAGACUCUGGGACAGCUGUGUACAUAAGAGUCAUCUGGGCAUUGCUCUUACAAUCCCUGUAGAAGACAAGAGCUCAGAAGCUGACAUAUGAGACUCUGUCGCUCAAAGCCGUGGUUCCCACCUGGAGUGGAAGAGGAAGCAGCGAAACAAGCAGGCAAGUUCAGAGACUCUGAGCUGCUUACGCCCUGGAAGUGCUGCGUGGACUUGGAGAGCAACUUCCUGCAGACUUCCUGUUAGAGAAGAGGACUGGACGUUCAGCUGUGGCUAGAGCAGACCUUCCUUCAGCUUUGUUAUCUGAAGCCCAAAGCCUUCCUACCCAAUGCCAUUGGUUCAAAUCAUGUUUGCUUGUUUGUUUGUUUGAGACAAACUAUUAAGCACUGGUUUACCUGAGACUUUCUAAAUAUCUAAGUACACACGAAGCUAUCCUCAAACGCAGGAAGUUUUUUGACUAAUACAAGGAAUAGCAGAUAUUUUAUCUUUCUCCUUUUCUCAUUUCUCAUUAUGAGAGGGAGAGUGUGCGAGAGCUCUCACUGACACAUGAGGGGGUGUGCAUUCAUGUGGGUCUCGUUGGCCCUGGGUGUCUCCUGUCCUGCCUCUGCUUCUCAAGUACUGGGAUUAAAGGUGUGCACCACCAUGUGUAAUCCAAAAUCAUAUCUGAGUGAAGUAUAUCUGGCUAAUAUAAUACACGACCUUCCCUCUUCCC